rnacentral:rRNA from 1 species
UACAGAGGUCUCAAGCGUUGUUCGGAUUCAUUGGGCGUAAAGGGUGCGUAGGCGGCGCGGUAAGUCGGGUGUGAAAUCUUGGAGCUUAACUCCGAAACUGCAUUCGAUACUGCCGUGCUUGAGGACUGGGAGAGGAGACUGGAAUUUACGGUGUAGCGGUGAAAUGCGUAGAUAUCGUAAGGAAGACCAGUGGCGAAGGCGGGUCUCUGGACAGUUCCUGACGCUGAGGCACGAAGGCCAGGGGAGCAAACGGGG